GAUAAAAUCCAUUUCUUUGUCACAUAAACAAAUUAUUUUGCAUUUUUUUAAGGGUUAAUUUACUGAAUGACCAAAUUUGACAUCCUUAUUAAGAGAAUGACCUUCUCCCAGAAAAGUUGGGUAUAUAACGUUUUUUUACCAUGCGAAAUAUCCGAUAUAGCCUCUACGGAUGGGCGGCAAAACCAUAUUCCCGACAGCAGACUUGUAGAUGUAGGGGAGCUAGAGAUUGUAGGGCAAUGAUUACAACGUAUCAAAAAAAAAAAGCAUGCAUUACUUAUGCAGUUACUACUAAAUAAAGCAUGAACUAUUUAUGAGUGUAGAUCUCAAUUUAGAGCUUUCAUUACUACAACUUUCUAAGUUUGUACUGAACGUUUCAUAAAAUACAUGCAAUUUACAACUGCAGCAGCAUGUACUAUGAAAGGAUUUAUUUCA
rnacentral:sRNA from 1 species